rnacentral:rRNA from 1 species
UACGUAGGCAGCGAGCGUUGUUCGGAGUUACUGGGCGUAAAGGGUGCGCAGGCGGUGGAGCAAGUCUGUUGUGAAAUCUCCCGGCUUAACCGGGAGGGUGCGGCGGAAACUGUUCUGCUGGAGUGAGGGAGAGGCAAGCGGAAUUCCUGGUGUAGCGGUGAAAUGCGCAGAUAUCAGGAGGAACACCGGUGGCGAAGGCGGGUCUCUGGGCCGAUACUGACGCUGAGGAGCGAAAGCGUGGGGAGCGAAAAGG